GAUGAACGCUGGCGGCGUGCCUAAUACAUGCAAGUCGAGCGAACAGACGAGGAGCUUGCUCCUCUGACGUUAGCGGCGGACGGGUGAGUAACACGUGGAUAACCUACCUAUAAGACUGGGAUAACUUCGGGAAACCGGAGCUAAUACCGGAUAAUAUAUUGAACCGCAUGGUUCAAUAGUGAAAGACGGUUUUGCUGUCACUUAUAGAUGGAUCCGCGCCGCAUUAGCUAGUUGGUAAGGUAACGGCUUACCAAGGCAACGAUGCGUAGCCGACCUGAGAGGGUGGACGGCCACACUGGGAAUGAAACACGGGCCAGACUCCUAAGGGAGGCAAGAGUAGGGAAUCUUCCGGAAUGGGCGAAAGCCCGAAGGAGCAACGCCGGGGGAGGGAAGAAGGUCUUCGGGUCGUAAAACUCUUUUAUUAGGGAAGAACAAAUGUGUAAGUAACUAUGCACGUCUUGACGGUACCUAAUCAGAAAGCCACGGCUAACUACGUG
rnacentral:rRNA from 1 species